ACGCCUCGGGCAUCUUUGCCGUCCUGAAAAUUUCAUUGAACAAUGCAGUCAACCACCUUACACCAGCCUCUCCAACGAACUUCCAAAACUCCACCGGUAUCUCAUCCGGCCCCGUCGCCCUACCCCUUCGCAUCCUGCGGACUGCCUGUCUAACCUCGUCUACCUUAAAACGUCUACAAUAGCUAAAAUCCCGACACUCCCCUGAGUGCUCCAGUUCCCCUAACACAAUAGCUCUGUCCCCCUCGUCAUUCAAGAGCCUAUGAAAGUACGACUGCCAUCUCUUCUUUAUGUGACCGUCCUCCACCAACACUCUACCGUCCUCCCCCUUAAUGCACCUCACCUGAUCGAGGUCACGACCCUUCCUCUCCCUAGCCUUAGCGAGUCGGAAC
rnacentral:lncRNA from 1 species